GUCAAAAGUUCUUCAUAUUUGGUAGGAACAGUAUUAACUUAGUUAGCAAAUCCCCGUUUACAAUCUUGUGUUUCUUAAAGUUGUGAUAGAUGAUUAUUUCUGUCCUUAAAUAAUAAAAAUAGAAAACAUGUCUAUUACUGUAGUGAAAAUGGAUAUAUUUGUGUGAUAUAAAGAGAAAACUAAGGAGGAUGUCAAUUUUAGUUAAGAUAGUGUGCAGUUUUCUUUAUAGAUGCAAUCUUUCAAAAUUGCAGUGCCCGUUAACAAAAAAGAAAAUGGCCUGUGGUGAUCAGAAUAUUUUUUUAAAGUAACUGUUUUUACCUAAUGACUUGCUUAUUGUUUGUUGGUCUGUAUGUUCUAUUUUAAUGCCUAACUUGCUUAAGAGCAGCAGAGACACUAAAGGUAAUUUCUGACAUAUUAUUAUCUGGGCUAUUUGUUUAUUUUGAAUGGAAGAAGAGGACAAAAAUCUCAGACUGUUAGGUGAGGAAUCAGAUAUGAUGGGCUUCACUCAAAGGCCCCGUGGCAAGACACUGCAGGGCUUGAGCAUGGGCACCUAACAGACUAAAGCGGAAGAGAGAAGGAGAUGAAUGCCCCACAGAGGCCACUGGAACUGCUGGCAGCUGUGACUUGGAGCAUGGUGCCAUCUAUUCCUCAGUCUUCAUGGCUCUCAAGGUACAGCCAGUUGGGACUUCCUGGCAAGACGCUAAUGGGAGGAAGGAAAGGCAACCUGCUAGGGAAUAAAUGUUCAUUAGGGAUCAGUUUGGAUUAUGCAGAGAUCAAGAACAGGGUCCAUACCAAAAUAGCUUUAAUUAUCAGAUUGUUUUAUUUUUCCCCCACAAAAAAUAUAUGCUAAGUUUGAGGUAUAAAGAGUUUUUUCCUCAUUAAAAAGAAUCCAUCUCCAUAUUAAAAAAUCAUGCUACCAACACUGACAGAUAACUACAGGUGAGAAUGGUAAAAAUUCCUCACUGCAUACAGCUGUCAGAGUCAAGGUCCCUCCCACACUGUGGGGAUGGCAAAGACAGCAAAAAGGAGUUUGCGAAAACACUUUCGCCUAUGCCAUUCUUUCAACAUUUUGAAGCAAAUCUAAUGAGUAUCUCUGCUCUUCUUUUCCCAAAUCAGGCAAAUACUGAAGUCCAGGUAUUUCUUAUUCAGCAGCAGCAGCAGCAGAUCACUAACAGAUAUGCCUGGGAGAGAUUCAGGCUUCGUUCCUGAUCUAAAACUUAAAGCUGGGAAAAGAUAGUCUCAAAAGAGAGCAAAAAUCUGUGAAGGGAACUUAGAAGCUGUCACUCUGGGCACAUCCUAACUUCAACAUCAACACACCUGUUGGAAGGUAGAUGAACUACAGUGAAGAGAAGAAUGGAUAAGUUCUUCAAAGGAGGGACUGUGUCUUAAAUUUCUUUGUAAACUCCAUUGCUUCGUACCAUGCCUGACAGAUUUAGGUACUCAGAGAGUGUUGGUUAAAGGUUGAAUGAAUGGGCUGAGCAAUGCAUGAGUGGAGGAUGGAUCAACUGGACCAUGUAGAGAUGGAAGAAAAGGAAUGUCAUUUGCUAUACUCAGAACAUGUCCUGUGCUGGUGAUUUCACAGUUGAUCAUAGCCAAUCCCUAUAGUGACCCUGUGAGAAAGUAUCAUUAUCUGCCUUUUAUAGCUAAGUUUCAGAUAGGAUCCUAGAGAGAUUGCUAACCUGUCCAAAUCUAUGGCUGAGAGAUAGGAUUUAAAACUUGAGUGCUCCUUUCAAAUAGCCCACAUUUCCCUCUAUUUCCCUUCUAAACACAAAAGCAAAACUUAAAUAUUAAAUCACUAAUAUAUUAGGUUAAAACUCUUGGCACCUUAAAUGGUCCCUGCCAAUUAAUUCAUUAUUUAUUAAGCACUCAUUUUGUGCAGAGUACGUUUUCAAUGCAAAGGGGUGCCAGAAGAUAAAAGUCUACUCCUUUUGUCCUAUGGGCAGCUAAGGCCUGAUGUCAAUGGUUUGAGUAAUACAACAUUCUGAGUAUACGAGAUGCUAUCAAGAUGAUUAAGGAGCUUCAAACAUAUUUUGAAGUAGUCAAAAAUAAUCUAUCUUGAGACUAACAGCAAUUUUCUCUCAUUAGUAUAAAUUAAAUUUAGUGCUAAAAUAUUAUCUUCAUAUGUGCAAUAAUCAUUAGGCUAAUUUUGUAACCAAAUGAUCUUUAGAGGCUAAAAAUGUUGUUAAAAUUGAUGAGCUUUUUGGAGAAGAUUUUUAAUGAGUAUUCUGGAUGUCCAAAAGUCUUACUGGACCACUAGAGGUACUGGGAUCCGAAUGGUUAACCCCUUUCCUUCCUCCUUCCUCAGAAUCACAUAGGAGACAGUCAGGAUUACAGGAUUUUGAGAAAUGAUAUCCUCUUAGCCAUUUGUUCCUCUUCUACCACAGAGAAGCUCUGGACAUUUGGAGACUUACAGAAUCAGGAUGAUUUCUUAGAGUCUCUGAUAACAUUUUGACGACGUAGGAAAGGGAUAUGUUUGUCAGGGGUUCUAGCCUUCCUAAACUCAGUGCCCCUCUGAGAGAGAAAAUACUCAUCAUGUUGAUGUAUAGCAAAACCCAUCACACUAUUGUAAAGUAUUUAUCCUCUAAUUU